UCUUUCUUGAUUAUGUGGGUGGUGGUGCAUGGCCGUUCUUAGUUGGUGGAGUGAUUUGUCUGCUUAAUUGCGAUAACGAACGAGACCUUAACCUGCUAAAUAGCCCGGCGAGCUUUUGCUUGUCGCUGGCUUCUUAGAGGGACUAUCGGCUCAAGCCGAUGGAAGUUUGAGGCAAUAACAGGUCUGUGAUGCCCUUAGAUGUUCUGGGCCGCACGCGCGCUACACUGACAGAGCCAACGAGUGUAAGCCUUGACCGAGAGGUCUGGGUAAUCUUGUUAAACUCUGUCGUGCUGGGGAUAGAGCAUUGCAAUUAUUGCUCUUCAACGAGGAAUAUCUAGUAAGCGCAAGUCAUCAGCUUGCGUUGAUUACGUCCCUGCCCUUUGUACACACCGCCCGUCGCUACUACCGAUUGAAUGGCUCAGUGAGGCCUUCGGACUGGCUCAGGGAGGUCGGCAACGACCACCCAGAGCCGGAAAGUUGGUCAAACUUGGUCAUUUAGAGGAAGUAAAAGUCGUAACAAGGUUUGAGUAAGAUCCUUCUGUAGGUGACGCUUAUGAGAAGCCUUUGUGGCCCCGCAAGGGGUACCUGCCGCGACUGUAAAGAAGAAUGCUGGUAUUAAAUCGCAAGUCAGCACCUGCUGGCGACAUUUUCGAAUUGCGGGAACACCCUAAAGCCCACUUCUACCAACCGGUCAGAGAAAUCUGGCUGGGGCCACUGCCAACAGCACUGGGUAAGGUAAAAAUGAAGCGGGAUAGACCAGUUCUGCUGGUGACAUGGGCAAUCCGCAGCCAAGUCCCUAACGCACAAUGUGCCAUGGGAAAGGUUCACAGACUAAGUGGAAAUGGGCUGGAUACCCAGCUUAAGAUAUAGUCGGGCCCCAACUGAAAAUUUGGGGGAGUCACCAUUGCUAUAACCGUUCCGUAGGUGAACCUGCGGAAGGAUCAUUAAACAGCGGGCUUGCACCGUGAACGCGCUCCGCACGGGUUUGGGCCCAGCGGAAGUGUGAACCAACUGUGAACCGAAAAACCUUUGCUCGGGUAGCAUGUCCGGUCAGGUUCCAACCGAACCGGCUCUGUCAGCCUGCCCGUGCGCCCAACCAAACCUAGCAUUCUGUGCUGUCUGGUGAAAUUUUCUGAAUGGAAAAUUAAAACUUUCAACAACGGAUCUCUUGGUUCUCGCAUCGAUGAAGAACGCAGCGAAACGCGAUAGUUAAUGUGAAUUGCAGAAUUCAGUGAAUCAUCGAGUCUUUGAACGCACAUUGCGCCCUUCGGUAUUCCGGAGGGCAUGUCUGUUUGAGCGUCAUGUCAACCCUCGCCCCCAAAGGCGGUUUUGGGCACCGGCUUAGCUGACGGGUCUUAAAGUUGAACGCUCUGCGGGCGACUGCUCCGGCGAACAUGGUAGCUAACUUCUGUUCCAACCGGCUGCUGCUUGCCCUGCCUGAACAAGAACCAAACUCAAGGUUUGACCUCAGAUCAGACAAGGAUACCCGCUGAACUUAAGCAUAUCAAUAAGCGGAGGAAAAGAAACCAACAGGGAUUGCCUCAGUAACGGCGAGUGAAGCGGCAAGAGCUCAAAUUUGAAAUCUGGGGUCUUCGGCCUCCGAGUUGUAAUUUGAAGAGGACGCCUCGGUUGCGGUCGCGGUCCAAGUUCCUUGGAACAGGAUGUCGCGGAGGGUGAGAAUCCCGUACACGGCUGACGGCCUGCAACCAUGUGUGGCGCGUUCGAAGAGUCGAGUUGUUUGGGAAUGCAGCUCAAAAUGGGUGGUAAAUUUCAUCUAAAGCUAAAUACUGGCGAGAGACCGAUAGCGCACAAGUAGAGUGAUCGAAAGAUGAAAAGCACUUUGAAAAGAGAGUUAAACAGUACGUGAAAUUGUUGAAAGGGAAGCGCUUGCAACCAGACUCGCUGGCGGUUGAUCAUUGUUCCUUCUGGUUCAUGCACUCUGCCGCCCGCGGGCCAGCAUCGGUUGGGACGGCGGGACAAAGACGUCGGGAAUGUAGCUCCCUCCGGGGAGUGUUAAGCCCUUCGUGCAAUGCCGCCUGCCCCGAUCGAGGACC
rnacentral:rRNA from 1 species